rnacentral:lncRNA from 1 species
GCAAAGUCAUGAGGUUCUCUGUACAGAGGGUCUCGCUUGGCCUUCUGUAGCCUUGUCUGAGCAGAAGUUCCAGGAGGAGGCUAUGGCUCUGGCUGCCACCACCGGUUGAGCUGGUCAGCAGGAAGUUUGACGUGCCAGAAAAACAAGGGAGGGAACAAGAAAGGCAUUUUUCCAACUUAUCCAGAUGCCUCGGAGCCUAGAGUUGAUUGGCUGAAGAGAACUGAUUUGAGCUGGAGCACAGUGGUGUGAUUACAGCACAUUGCAGCCUUGAACUCCUGAUAUUCAAGUGGCGAUCCUCCCACCUCAGCCCCUGGAGUAACUGAGACUACAGGUACAUGCCUGGCUAAUUUUUGUAUUUUUGGUAGAGACAAGGUCUCACUGUAUUGCCCAGGCUGGUCUCGAACUCAUGGACUCAAGUGAUCCACCUGCCUUGGCCUCCCAAAGUGCUGGGAUUACAGGCAUGAGUCACUGCACCUGGCCCUAUUGCUUUGUAAAUACAGUUUGCCAGCUCAUAACUGUUGUACUCAUGCAACUGUUGUUGGUAUACCUGAAUGUUCAUGCCUGCAAAAAUAUGUGUGUCAUUAUUGCUUAUUUUAUUGUGUAAAGUAGCCUACAAAGUGUUCUGUCAUGUUUUUAUAUGUUUUCCAAAUAAACCCCUUUUAAAAAUGUAAAUAAAUACUUUUAAAUAAUUUUACCAUGCCUGCUUCGUUCACUGAAAUAUCUUCGUUUCCUAACACACAGAAAGUCAUCAUUUUUUGACGGAUGAAAGAAUGGAUGAAUGCCUAGUCUUGGAGACAUCUACUUGCAAUAAAGGUUAGAUGAAGGAAAUGGAUGCCAGUGGGAGAUUUGUGGAUCUAUUUCACCAGAUUUCACUCUGCUGACUCAGCAAAAUGGUCCCCGAAGAAAGUGAAGAAACAGAGGCAAAGGGAGCAUAAGCAAUUUUCCAAAGGCCAUACAACAUGUAAGUGGCUGAGCCAAGACUGAAAUCACCAGGUUCUUAACCACUAGGCCAUAUUGCAUUGGAGUGUUGCCUCCUGGAGUAAGACUAGGCUAAAAGCUUCAUAGAAACCUAAAGGAGUUAGAGAAGGAAGAUCUCUCAAUGGAAAUGCUAAGAAGAGACACAAGGAAAGACACAUCACUAAGGAGAGACCCAAGGAAAAUGGCUCUAUGACUACAGUCCAUUUAAAGAAUGAGGGCGUUCCUUCUACCAAGUUACAGGUGGAGAUGUGUUUACCUGCUGGAUACCAAUGCUUCUAGCAUCAGGGAGAAGUUGAGCCCUGGAGGAAACAUUGCCUCUAAGUUUGUGUUCUGAUGGAGAUGAUGACUACUUCACAGGCACUUUGCAAGGUCUGAUGACAUUGACAAUACAUUGGACAAAGAGCAAAGGAAGAGGAGUCUGCAAAACAACAACAACAACAACAGAAAAAAACAAAAUAAAACAAAGGGUCAUCGGAAGAGUAACAGGAGAAAGAAGAGUUAAUGUGUGGUGGAAUCCUUGGGAAAGCAUGAGUCAAGAAGUAUAGUAUACACAAUUCAGAUAACCAAGGGGUUACUUCCAAAAGGAUGAAUGUAUUUGUAGGCAAGGCGCAUGGAAAUAAGGUAUAGCUUGCAUAAAAAUCCAGAGUUUUGGUAAUAAAAUCUUUCUGCUGAGUUUUAAUUUGGAUUUGAAUAAAAAGGAAACCAAGCAGAUAGAUAGUAUUGAUUAUCUUUUUCACUUCAAAACUGUUACAGAGUUAGAAUAAAGUAGAGAUGAAGGAUAUUGGCAGGCCAGAGGCAUAGCAAAUACGUUCUUGAGCCAUCUUGUAAACAAUUUAUUUAUAGAAGGCAGAGUAUAGAACGCAUGGAAUUACUAUCUAAUUUCUGACUAUGAUCAGAAUCUUUAAGUAUGAAACUAUGUAAAUCCAGUUAGAUGGAAGGAUAAAGGACUUCAAGGGUUCAAUUCUAGUGCUACAUACUGCAAAGCAAAGUAUCUACAACAACUGCAAUAAGCCACCCUGAUCAUUCUUCAACCUAAAGAUUUGCAACUCAUCCAAGUUCAACUGGUUGAAAGAGCCUGCCUCCUCACAGCAGUGCCUGAUUGACACUAUGAACUGAAAUACUAAAGGCACUUCUUCUUUCAGGAUAACUGAUUAAAUGUUCUGGCUGGUAAAGCAGGUCAUCACUCAACUGUUGUGGCUUUGGCAAGAUGCCACCAAAGCAGCCCAUCAUGGUUGGCAGAGAUGUAAAGGCCCCACAUAUUACAGAACACCCUUUGAUAUGCAGACUAAUUAAUAGAAGACCUAAGCCUUUCAAGGGACUUCUAUACCAUAGGAUGUUAGGAGACAUCAAGAACACAAAUGAAACUAAGAUUUUCAUACAGGGUUCAGGUUUUGUUACUUCAGAUCUAUAAUCUAAAGUUCUGUAAUCAUCACAUCACUCCAAGAACAAAAUUUGAUAGGCAAAAUUCUUCACACUCAUUUCAUGGAGAACCUUGAGGGUCCAGAGUGAGGCUUGAUGGCAAGCAGGAGCUCCCUGUCCCCUGUCUCCACCCAUGCAACCCCUAGCUCCCCCAUUGUUUUCACUCUAGAUUUGUGAAGUAUAACAACCUUAAAAUCUUAAGAUUUAAUCUUUAAAUAUUAAGAGAUUUGGGUUUCUGUAUCAACAAUCUUUAAAUAUUAAGAGAUUUUUCCGAAGAUUAAUGACUUUCCUAGAGUUGGCCUACAAAUUCACCACCUCAACUGGAUGACUUGCUUUGGAAUAAAUUUCUAACACCGCAAGUGAAUUGAAUAUUUUCUUCCUUUUUUAUGUAAUCUAAUAUAGUACAUUUUUAAAAAUUUAUAGGAUGUCCAGACACUUAUAGCUUAUCAUUCUAUGAUUCAAAAGAAUUUGGUAUAAUUGCAUUGAUAAGCUUACUGCCCUGGGCACCAAAGUAACCUAGAAUAUGGAGAAGUAGCUUUUGGUGACAUGCAUCUAUUUAUAUCUCUAGCAUUUACUAAUUAAUUAAUUUGUUUAACAAAUACACAUUCAGUACCAUUAUAUGUUUGGCAUUGUCAUAGAUGUUAGAAAAUCAAAUAUAAAAAAGAGGUAAUUUCUUCACAACACACGGAAAUAAGAGUAUCUCUAGG